rnacentral:rRNA from 1 species
GACGAACGCUGGCGGCGUGCUUAACACAUGCAGGUCGAACGGAAAGGCCCUGCUUUUGUGGGGUGCUCGAGUGGCGAACGGGUGAGUAACACGUGAGUAACCUGCCCUUGACUUUGGGAUAACUUCAGGAAACUGGGGCUAAUACCGGAUAGGAGCUCCUGCUGCAUGGUGGGGGUUGGAAAGUUUCGGCGGUUGGGGAUGGACUCGCGGCUUAUCAGCUUGUUGGUGGGGUAGUGGCUUACCAAGGCUUUGACGGGUAGCCGGCCUGAGAGGGUGACCGGCCACAUUGGGACUGAGAUACGGACCAGACUCCUACGGGAGGCAGCAGUGGGGAAUAUUGCACAAUGGGCGGAAGCCUGAUGCAGCAACGCCGCGUGCGGGAUGACGGCCUUCGGGUUGUAAACCGCUUUCGCCUGUGACGAAGCGUGAGUGACGGUAAUGGGUAAAGAAGCACCGGCUAACUACGUG